rnacentral:lncRNA from 1 species
UUUUCACAAUGCUCACUUGAAUGUUGCGAAAAGGUAACGUUGGUUGAACCCUUAUACUGAAACUUUAAAGUAUAUAUCCUUCCUUUUCUAUUUGCCUAAACAUCAGCACAGUCACUUUUAUCUAUCUCAAAUCCUACCAAUCGACCAUAUUUUCCCCUCUUACAUAGAAAGCAAAUCUAUCCCUAUCCCUCUCUUUCCGUUGAAGAACAGUUUCUAGACUCUUCCUCUUUUUUUCCUCGAGCUUCGAUUGGUGGGUUGGAAGUGGAGUCAACGAAUCGAAAUCUAACCCCAUUGCAUGACUGUCAAAAGAUUGGUUUGUUAGAAUGAUGUUUUUGUGACCCCUCUAUCAACUUUUAUGGCUAAGGAAGAGGAGAUUCAGAAGAGGAAAAUGGAGAUUCAAGAGAGAGUUCUAGCACAAAUGGAUCGUAUUGAACAAGAAAAUAGGCGUUUGGGCCGCUAUCUGUGAGGUAUUUUCUUGGGUUAUUUUACAUUUUUAAUGGGUUUGUUUUUAUGGAUCUGUACGGAAUUAGGAAGAGGGACUGAAAUUUAUGGACAAGAAAAUUGAAGUUUUAAUCGGGUUUCCAUGAUCUUUUCUUUUACGUGGAAAAAGGAUUUUUUUCAUAUGGUUUAUGUUAUGGAUACGCAAAGAUUUCCAUAUUUUUUAAAUUCGUUUUCAUCACUUCUAAAUUGUAGCUCAGCAAAUUGAAACUAGAAUCUUAAUCAAUAAAUUUUUUAAUGACUUUAUAAAGCACUUAUAGUUGUACAGAUUAUAUUAAUCUAAUUCUCAUAAUCACUCAGACCAAAUUUCCUUCAUCCAAUGUAGGAGGGGGCUGAACCAACAGCUGUUAUUUGUCUUUUUCCUAUUGUAAUUUUUUAGUAUUGCCUUUGGGAGAUAAAGCUACUGUUAUGCCCUAAAUUAAUUUCUUUAACUGAAUUCUAAUUUGUAGAAGUCGAAUUAAAAAAAAAAAUUACAUUUUGAUCCAAAGGAGCAAGGAUAAAUUUUACGAAUCAUUUUAGAGGAUAUCAUACUGCUUACAAGUUUUAUGCAAAGCUACAGACUGAAACUGAGAUUCACUAUGGACCUUUCUUAUGAAACUAGUGGCGUUAAUGAGAAUAUGCUGAAAACACAUUUUAUUUUAUAAUGCAGAAGCUUAUGAACUUGACUAAGGUUGAAUUCUUUGAUUUAUGUGAAGUUUUCAUUUGCCUCCACACGUUCAUAAUUUCUGCAUUAGACUUCUGAUGCUUAAUGCAGAGCUACAAAGCCUGAUGCAGUGAUUUUUAAUGUUCAAGUCAAUGUGUUGUAACUAAUCCUGAUAAAAAAGGAGUACGGUUGCUCUGUGCCACUUUCUUUAUCUAUUAUCUAUUACUGUUGGCAAGAAAACAGAUUUUAUGAGAUAAUUUACAUAAUAGGAGUUUAACUUUGUAAGUAGUUUCAUUUUUGAAGCAUAAUUUAGAGGACAAUUUACUUUUUGCAAUUUCAUAUGUCAAUUGGUUGUUCUUCACUCAUUGUCAUCCCAGUAGUGAGAGAACUAUUUUUUGCAAAAUUUAUCAACUAAUAGUCGGGUUUCUUGCCAAAUCCAGACUCAUUUUAAAUGAGAUUAUCAAAUAAUUUAUCUAUGUUUUUAAGGGCUAAUAGAUGGGUUUAGUUUUAGCCCUAGAAUUAACAGAACAUUAACAAUUAACCAUUUCAAUUAUGGAUUUUAUGUCUUUUCAUAGCAUGCAUUUCAUGUCUUGGUGAAUAUGACUGGUGAAAGCUAUAGCUCAAUUAUCAGAUUAAUAAUUAAGAUGCAUACCAUAAAUAAAUGGUACCCCAAAUAGUGCCUGCAACUAGACCUGCAGUUGCGCCUUUAUGGUCUUAAUCAAUGGACUUGUUUUUAUCUUCCAUCUGUCUAAGCUCCAUCUGAUCCAUUGCUUUGUUUUAAAAACUGAAUUGGCAGUCAUCUGUGAGGGGGGGGGGGGGGGGGGGGAGGGGGGGGGGGGGGNNNNNNNNNNNNNNNNNNNNNNNNNNNNNNNNNNNNNNNNNNNNNNNAGAAGUGGAGGGGGGGGGAGGAGGGGGGGGGGGGGGGGGGGGGAGACAGAGUGUGUGUGACGGUAAGGUUAUCUUGUGAAAAUAUUGGAUGCUUUUAUAUUUGUAAGGUGUUUUGAAAGAUGCUUUUAUAUAUGUAAGAAGCUGUUUUCUAAAUAUUUCUCUUCAGCAAAAUUAGUGAUGUUAAGGAUAUGGUGUUUGUCCCUAGCCAUCUACUUAGCUUAUGAUGUUUGAUAUCUCUACAGGGUUCAAGUCAUAAAAAAUAUGCGAUGGUAUAGCUUACAUUCGCAGGCGAAGAGAGGUGGAGUUCUAAUGUGAUCCUCUUGUGUAUACAUUGAGGCUUGCAUUUUUCAGUUUGGUUAUUUUUUUGCAAUUUUUGUGUUCUGAGGCAGAUUAUUUAUCUCUGGUUAUAUCUAUAUCUAUUUUAUUACCAUUAUUUGUCUCUGGAGGAUACAAAAUGAAAUUGAUAACAUAUUGGCUGUGAGUUUUCAUGUUCUCUUUAAGUACAAACAUCAUCAGUUUAUGGACCAAUUUUAGUCUUGACCAAUGCAUUCAUAAAAAUCUGUUACAUAUUCUACGCCUUCAGCCAGUUUAUGUUUUGUCUAGCCUUUAACUUAUUUCAAUAGAUAACUAAAUCUCUAUUGUAUUAUUUGAAUUCAGAUUCAUACUCGAUCUGGGUUUUCUGAGGACAAGCUUCUCUUUGGCGAUUAUGAAGGUUGAAUUUACCCAUUGCAUUCAAAAGAUAGUUGCAGGCCAAGAAGAAAGUAACGGGAAGGAUUUUUUAGAGCUAGCCAUUUGAAGACAAGAAGUUGUAAAUUAUCUUCUUUUAUAUAAUAAUUUUCUGUUGUUUAAGAGGAGUGUAAGAUGAUGUUUAUUUGAUGAACAAUAUGUAAAUCAAAAUUAUAUCAAUUAAAGGCCCAAAAAGUCGUUUUCAUUUUGCGGUUGAUUUAGUAAAUUGUUAAACAAAUAGCAAAAAAAAUU